rnacentral:rRNA from 1 species
CCUGGGCUAGACAACGGCGGACCGCCUCAGAGAUGGGGCUUUCCCUUCGGGGACUGCCGGUUCAGGUGCUGCAUGGCUGUCGUCAGCUCGUGUCGUGAGAUGUUGGGUUAAGUCCCGNAACGAGCGCAACCCCUGUCCUUAGUUGCCCCCGGGUCAUGCCGUGGCACUCUAAGGAGACUGCCGGCGUUAAGCCGGAGGAAGGUGGGGAUGACGUCAAGUCCUCAUGGCCCUUAUGUCCAGGGCUACACACGUGCUACAAUGGGCGGUACAAAGGGAUGCGAGCUCGCGAGAGUAAGCCAACCCCAAAAAACCGUUCUCAGUUCGGAUUGCAGUCUGCAACUCGACUGCAUGAAGCUGGAAUCGCUAGUAAUCGCGGAUCAGCACGCCGCGGUGAAUACGUUCCCGGGCCUUGUACACACCGCCCGUCACACCAUGGAAGCCCGUUGUACCGGAAGCCGGUGCGCCAACCCGCAAGGGAGGUAGCCGUUCAUGGUAUGACCGGUGACUGGGGUGAAGUCGUAACAAGGUAGGCGUAGAUGA